UACGUAGGGGGCAAGCGUUAUCCGGAUUUACUGGGUGUAAAGGGAGCGUAGACGGCAGCGCAAGUCUGGAGUGAAAUGCCGGGGCCCAACCCCGGAACUGCUCUGGAAACUGUGAAGCUGGAGUGCAGGAGAGGUAAGCGGAAUUCCUGGUGUAGCGGUGAAAUGCGUAGAUAUCGCGCAGAACCCCGAUUGCGAAGGCAGCCUGCCGGCCCCACACUGACGCUGAGGCACGAAAGCGUGGGUAUCGAACAGG
rnacentral:rRNA from 1 species